rnacentral:rRNA from 1 species
GAUGAACGCUAGCGGCAGGCCUAAUACAUGCAAGUCGAGGGGCAGCAGGAAUAGCAAUAUUCGCUGGCGACCGGCGCACGGGUGCGUAACACGUAUACAAUCUGCCUUUAACAGGGGGAUAGCCCGGAGAAAUCCGGAUUAAUACCCCAUAACAGUGGUCUUGGCAUCAAGGACACUUAAAAGCUCCGGCGGUUAAAGAUGAGUAUGCGUCUGAUUAGCUAGUUGGUGAGGUAACGGCUCACCAAGGCGACGAUCAGUAGGGGAUCUGAGAGGAUUAACCACCACACGGAUACUGAGACACGGAUCCGACUCCUACGGGAGGCAGCAGUAAGGAAUAUUGGACAAUGCCCGCAAGGGUGAUCCAGCCAUGCCGCGUGCAGGAAGACGGCCCUAUGGGUUGUAAACUGCUUUUACACCGGAGAAAACCCCACUACGUGUAGUGGGCUGAUAGUAUGGUGAGAAUAAGCAUCGGCUAACUUCGUGCCAGCAGCCGCCGUAA